UACGUAGGGUGCAAGCGUUAAUCGGAAUUACUGGGCGUAAAGCGUGCGCAGGCGGUUUUGUAAGUCUGUCGUGAAAUCCCCCGGGCUCAACCUGGGAAUUGCGAUGGAGACUGCAAGGCUAGAAUCUGGCAGAGGGGGGUAGAAUUCCACGUGUAGCAGUGAAAUGCGUAGAGAUGUGGAGGAACACCGAUGGCGAAGGCAGCCCCCUGGGUCAAGAUUGACGCUCAUGCACGAAAGCGUGGGGAGCAAACGAGGAUUACGAA
rnacentral:rRNA from 1 species